AAGCUUGUGCAGUGGCAGUAUCGUAGCCAACGAGGUUUAUCCAAGGUGUGAUUAUUGCUAAUUAAAAUAAUAAAUCAAUAUUUUAUCAAAUGAUUUUUCUUCACCUCUUAAGAUAAUUAUACAAUUGUUCUCAUUUAAUCUUUUAA
ensembl:snRNA U4 U4 spliceosomal RNA